rnacentral:rRNA from 1 species
GAGUACGGCCGCAAGGCUAAAACUCAAAGGAAUUGACGGGGACCCGCACAAGCGGSGGAGCAUGCGGAUUAAUUCGAUGCAACGCGAAGAACCUUACCAAGGCUUGACAUAUACGAGAACGGGCCAGAAAUGGUCAACUCUUUGGACACUCRUAAACAGGUGGUGCAUGGUUGUCGUCAGCUCGUGUCGUGAGAUGUUGGGUUAAGUCCCGCAACGAGCGCAACCCUCGUUCUAUGUUGCCAGCACGUAAUGGUGGGAACUCAUGGGAUACUGCCGGGGUCAACUCGGAGGAAGGUGGGGAUGACGUCAAAUCWUCAUGCCCCUUAUGUCUUGGGCUUCACGCAUGCUACAAUGGCCGGUACAAAGGGCUGCAAUACCGUAAGGUGGAGCGAAUCCCAAAAAGCCGGUCCCAGUUCGGAUUGAGGUCUGCAACUCGACCUCAUGAAGUCGGAGUCGCUAGUAAUCGC